rnacentral:rRNA from 1 species
CAGUAGCCGCGGUAAUACAGAGGGUGCAAGCGUUAAUCGGAUUUACUGGGCGUAAAGGGCGCGUAGGUGGUUAUGUAAGUGAGAUGUGAAAUCCCCGGGCUCAACCUGGGAACUGCAUCUUAUACUGCGUAGCUGGAGUGCAGUAGAGGGUAGUGGAAUUUCCGGUGUAGCGGUGAAAUGCGUAGAUAUCGGAAGGAACACCAGUGGCGAAGGCGGCUACCUGGACUGACACUGACACUGAGGCGCGAAAGCGUGGGGAGCAAACAGGAUUAGAUACCCUCGUAGUCCCUGUCUCUUAUAC